rnacentral:rRNA from 1 species
UACGUAGGGGGCUAGCGUUGUCCGGAAUCAUUGGGCGUAAAGCGCGUGUAGGCGGCCCGGUAAGUCCGCUGUGAAAGUCGGGGGCUCAACCCUCGAAAGCCGGUGGAUACUGUCGGGCUCGAGUACGGAAGAGGCGAGUGGAAUUCCUGGUGUAGCGGUGAAAUGCGCAGAUAUCAGGAGGAACACCAAGUGCGAAGGCAGCUCGCUGGGACGUUACUGACGCUGAGACGCGAAAGCGUGGGGAGAAAACAGG